rnacentral:rRNA from 1 species
UACGGGGGGGCAAGCGUUGUUCGGAAUUACUGGGCGUAAAGGGCUCGUAGGCGGCCAACUAAGUCCGACGUGAAAUCCCCAGGCUUAACCUGGGAACUGCGUCGGAUACUGGAUGGCUUGAAUUCGGGAGAGGGAUGCAGAAUUCCAGGUGUAGCGGUGAAAUGCGUAGAUAUCUGGAGGAAUACCGGUGGCGAAGGCGGCAUCCUGGACCGACAUUGACGCUGAUGAGCGAAAGCGUGGGGAGCAAACAGGG